CGUUUUCCGCGCCGUAGCUAACGCAUUAAGUGCCCCGCCUGGGGAGUACGGCCGCAAGGCUAAAACUCAAAGGAAUUGACGGGGGCCCGCACAAGCGGCGGAGCAUGCGGAUUAAUUCGAUGCAACGCGAAGAACCUUACCAAGGCUUGACAUGGACCGGACCGCCGCAGAAAUGUGGUUUCCCCUUUGGGGCCGGUUCACAGGUGGUGCAUGGUUGUCGUCAGCUCGUGUCGUGAGAUGUUGGGUUAAGUCCCGCAACGAGCGCAACCCUCGUUCCAUGUUGCCAGCGCGUAAUGGCGGGGACUCAUGGGAGACUG
rnacentral:rRNA from 1 species